UAUAUCGGUGUGGUAAGCAGAUAUCUAAAAAUUCUCUAAUUAGUCUCAGAAGAGGGGAGACCUAAUUUUUGCACUCGAUGAAAACGGAUAAGAUUGGAUAUAAUCUAAUAAUGUUAAUCUUUGCUAUCGUUACUUUUUGUCCGAGCAACACCGGGCUCAUCUGCUAGUAUUUUAAUAAUACUGUUUGAGAUCUGUGAUAAAAAUAUUAUUAGUUUAAAAUAUAUUUCCGCAGUUACCAUCCGGUUAUAAGAUAUUAAUAUUAUAUAAGAAAGUUUUAAUAAAAAUUCUGAAAAAUAAUCAUCUCUGACAAUUUCCGGCAACACUGCUCCCAACAUAUGUCCUAUGGUUACAAAAUUGGAAUGUGUUGUUAGUUAAGUUUGUUAUAAAUGAAAAGUAACAUUUUCAAUAAAUUUAAAGAAAGAUUUUUCAUAGUACUUAGUUUUAAUUACUUAACAUCGUGUUUAGUUUUUAUUUUUUUUAAGAGCAGCAAUGCAUACGAGUUUUAUUUCUAUCAACUUUGAUUAGAACAGAACUGAAUCUAUAGAAAUGAACAGUAAAUCUGGCAAUCUUCAAUGUGAUAUAUGCAGCAUAAAUUUUAUGACUAUACAUGAAAAAGAAGAACAUGAAUUUUCCCUUAUGCAUCAUAUUAGAUUAGAUCAGAGA